CGCACCCUGAGGUAUUUGCCAGUCUGCAUGUCCUUGAGCCGAUACUACCGCUUUGGGGGCUACCAACCCUAUUUGUGUGCAUGCCCGGUACUACCGGGAAGCCUUUGAUAUGGCCGGUGCCACCACCUUGAACCUUUCGGUUCAAGGCCGCUAUGACAGCGGUACCCUGGGGUGCUC
rnacentral:other from 2 species